rnacentral:rRNA from 1 species
GACGAACCGUGCGAACGUUGUUCGGAAUCACUGGGCUUAAAGGGCGCGUAGGCGGGCGGCCGCGUCCGGGGUGAAAUCCCACGGCUCAACCGUGGAACGGUCUCGGAUACGGGCGGCCUCGAGGGGGGUAGGGGCGUGCGGAACUCUGGGUGGAGCGGUGAAAUGCGUUGAUAUCCAGAGGAACUCCGGUGGCGAAGGCGGCACGCUGGACCCCUUCUGACGCUGAGGCGCGAAAGCCAGGGGAGCAAACGGG